CACCGACAUCAAUGAUUCGUUCUGCGAACCAUGGCCAACCGCCAGAUAAGAGUGCAUACCCAGCUCUUUCAUCUGCUGUUCGCCAAUGACGCGAGUGACGAUAUUGGUGCUGAACGCAUCGGCCAGUUGACGCGCCUGUGACGCCAAAUACGCGGCGUUACAGAUAUUGGGCGGCAUAUUGCCCAAGUCUUUGGC
rnacentral:antisense_RNA from 1 species